GAGCAAAACCACAACAAACACAAUAGGCAAAUACGGCGAGAAAUAGUAAAUAUUCUAGUUUCUUUUUGCACAACAAAACUCCAAGAACAACAAACAAUAGAAGAAAAAGAGACGAUAAUUUCAUUAGAAAAGAUGCUGCAGGGUGUGUAAACAGGAAAAGAAGAAAUGCAACGAUCUGGUCUAUUAAACAAAGCUUGCUGCAGAAAUGUAUGUGGCACUGUUUGUCUGAAGAGGAAAACAGAUUGGUGACUCAGAAAAAUAAAGUUUUAAUGUUCCGGGAUUGCAGAUCUGAAGAAAAAAAUUUGCUUUUUCAAAAACAGUCAAAUCACCAAGUUGAGCAGACGCACGUCACAAAGAAAAACAAAACGGUACAAAGAAGAAACGUAGGUCAAAGUUAGAAGAAUUUGAAUAAAAUUGCAUAAAAAAAAUAUUUAUUUAAAAGUAGGUAUGUUCAAAGUCACUGUUAACUUAUAAGAUUUAAGAAAUUGCGCAAGUAAUUAUUAUUUUGACAACAUAUUUUAUAUACCUUCCAAGUACAUAAAAUGUCACAUAACAACUAAAGUCUGUUCUUUUUUAAAUGUCAAAUAAUCUUUAACGUAGCUACCACAAAUUCAUACAUUUGUACUAAUUUUAUUUAAAAAGUUGUGAUUCAAUUUAUGAUUAAAUUUGAAAAACGUGAUGUUGAGACAUCGGCGAAAAAAUGGAAAACUACUACAUCAGGCACAAAAAUUAAGAGCUUAAAAUAAAAUAUUUUUUUUUAUUUUAUUCAUUAUUACAAAAAAAUAUAAAAACGGUAACAUGAGAUUGAAAAAGAACUGAAUUAGAGCAGGCCGUGUCUGGAUAAUUUUAGCCACAUGGCAAAACUUUUUCAAUUUUUUCAAAAAAUGACUAACCCUGUAGAGAAAAUUAAACAAUAUUGCCCAUACUCAUAAUGUCUCGAUUAUAUCUGUUUUGAUCCUCCGCAGAAAAACUUUUUUCUAUUUAAACACCUAUUUUUUAGCGAAAAGCCCAUUCACCACCAUUCAGUGUCUAUCAGUAGAAGUACA